AGCUCGGCUGGUUGAUGGAUUGUC
rnacentral:siRNA from 1 species